UACGGAGGGUGCAAGCGUUAUCCGGAUUCACUGGGUUUAAAGGGUGCGUAGGAGGGUGAGUAAGUCAGUGGUGAAAUCUUCGAGCUUAACUCGGAAACUGCCGUUGAUACUACUUGUCUUGAGUACCGUGGAGGUGAGCGGAAUAUGUCAUGUAGCGGUGAAAUGCUUAGAUAUGACAUAGAACACCAAUUGCGAAGGCAGCUCACUACACGAAUAUUGACUCUGAGGCACGAAAGCGUGGGGAUCAAACAGG
rnacentral:rRNA from 1 species